AUGCCAUGCAUAUUUAAACCAGACAUGCAUCAUACUUGUUUGCGCAUCAUGCCAUGUUAUGUGAUGGUUGUUUACUAUAUUGUGUGUUUCUUUCCGGUGUUGCUUCUUCGAGUUGGUUCCGAUAACGUUGCAUUUGUGAGGACCCGUUCGUCUACGUCCGUUUGUCUUCUUCAUGGACUCGUUCUUCUUCCUUGCGGGAUUUCAGGCAAGAUGACCAUACCCUCGAAAUCACUUCUAUCUUUGCUUGCUAGUUGCUCGCUCUUUUGCUAUGCCUAUGCUGCGAUACCUAUCGCUUGCUUAUCAUGCCUCCCAUAUUGUUGA
rnacentral:rRNA from 1 species